GAAGCGCUCCUCCACCAGCGGGCAUUUUUGCGCUCACGCGCGACUGCUCCAGGCUGUCAUUGCUCUCCUGACCGUCUACGAGAAGACUGGGAAACUUGAGAGGGAUUCCCCAGGAUCAACCAUCUGAGCAGAUACCUUGGAAUGUCCCCAGAUUUCAGAGCCUCGGACCAGCAGCAACACACUCUGAAGUAGGUCUCAGAAGACAAAAAGCUGAAAUCAACUCAUGCUUCCUGCUACACAGAAUCCACUGAGAGGAAAAGG
rnacentral:lncRNA from 1 species